rnacentral:rRNA from 1 species
CCCGCACAAGCAGCGGAGCAUGUGGUUAAUUCGAAGCAACGCGAAGAACCUUACCAGGUCUUGACAUCCAGUAAAAUCUGUAGAGAUACAGUGUGCCUUCGGGCGUACUGAGACAGGUGGUGCAUGGUUGUCGUCAGCUCGUGUCGUGAGAUGUUGGGUUAAAUCCCGCAACGAGCGCAACCCUUGUGAUCAGUUACUAACGGGUAAUGCCGAGGACUCUGAUAAGACUGCCGGGGACAACUCGGAGGAAGGUGGGGACGACGUCAAAUCAUCAUGCCCCUUAUGACCUGGGCUACACACGUGCUACAAUGGCCACUACAGAGAGCCGCGAGACCGCAAGGUGGAGCCAAUCUCAUAAAAGUGGUCCCAGUUCGGAUUGUGGGCUGCAACCCGCCCACAUGAAGUCGGAGUUGCUAGUAAUCGCGGAUCAGCAUGCCGCGGUGAAUACGUUCCCGGGCCUU